rnacentral:rRNA from 1 species
CUACGGGGUGCUGCAGUGAGGAAUAUUGCACAAUGGGGGGAACCCUGAUGCAGCAAUGCCGCGUGGAGGAUGACGCAUUUCGGUGUGUAAACUCCUUUUAUAUGUCAAGAAAAUGACGGUAGCAUAUGAAUAAGCACCGGCUAACUCCGUGCCAGCAGCCGCGGUAAUACGGAGGGUGCAAGCGUUACUCGGAAUCACUGGGCGUAAAGGACGCGUAGGCGGGUUGGAAAGUCAGGUGUGAAAUCCUACAGCUUAACUGUAGAGCUGCACUUGAAACUUCUAAUCUAGAGUAUGGGAGGGGGAGAUGGAAUUAGUGGUGUAGGGGUAAAAUCCGUAGAUAUCACUAGGAAUACCUAAAGCGAAGGCGAUCUCCUGGAACAUUACUGACGCUAAGGCGUGAAAGCGUGGGGAGCAAACAGGAUUAGAUACCCGCGUAGUC